GCAGUCGUGGCCGAGUGGUUAAGGCGACGGACUAGAAAUCCAUUGGGGUCUCCCCGCACAGGCUCGAAUCCUGUCGACUGCG
rnacentral:tRNA from 1 species